rnacentral:rRNA from 1 species
UACGGAGGAUCCGAGCGUUAUCCGGAUUUAUUGGGUUUAAAGGGUGCGUAGGCGGCGCGGAAAGUUGGGCGUGAAAUCCCUCGGCUUAACCGAGGAACUGCGUCCAAAACUGCCGUGCUCGAGGGAGAUAGAGGUGAGCGGAACUUAGGGUGGAGCGGUGAAAUGCGUUGAUAUCCUAAGGAACACCGGUGGCGAAAGCGGCUCACUGGAUCUCUUCUGACGCUGAGGCACGAAAGCUAGGGUAGCGAACGGG